UACGUAGGGGGCAAGCGUUGUCCGGAAUCAUUGGGCGUAAAGCGCGCGUAGGCGGCCCGGUAAGUCCGCUGUGAAAGUCCAGGGCUCAACCCUGGGAUGCCGGUGGAUACUGUCGGGCUCGAGUCCGGAAGAGGCGAGUGGAAUUCCUGGUGUAGCGGUGAAAUGCGCAGAUAUCAGGAGGAACACCAAUGGCGAAGGCAGCUCGCUGGGACGUGACUGACGCUGAGACGCGAAAGCGUGGGGAGCAAACAGG
rnacentral:rRNA from 1 species